rnacentral:rRNA from 1 species
CCUACGGGAGGCAGCAGUGGGGGAUAUUGCACAAUGGGGGGAACCCUGAUGCAGCGACGCCGCGUGAGCGAUGGAGUACUUCGGUAUGUAAAGCUCUGUCAGCAGGGAAGAAAAUGACGGUACCUGACCAAGAAGCCCCGGCGAAAUACGUGCCAGCAGCCGCGGUAAUACGUAUGGGGCAAGCGUUAUCCGGAUUUACUGGGUGUAAAGGGAGCGUAGGCGGCAGGGCAAGCCUGAUGUGAAAGCCCGGGGCUCAACCCCGGGAAUGCAUUGGGAACUGGCCUGCUGGAGUGCAGGAGGGGCAGGCGGAAUUCCUAGUGUAGCGGUGAAAUGCGUAGAUAUUAGGAGGAACACCAGUGGCGAAGGCGGCCUGCUGGACGGUGACUGACGCUGAGGCUCGAAAGCGUGGGGAGCAAACAGGAUUAGAUACCCGGGUAGUC